ensembl:snRNA U6 U6 spliceosomal RNA
AUGCUCACUUUGGCAGCACAUAUGUUAAAAUUGGAAUGAUACAAAGAUUAGCAUGUCCCCUGCACAAGGAUGACACACAGUUUUACAAAGUGUUUCAUAUUUUU